UACGUAGGGUGCGAGCGUUGUCCGGAAUUACUGGGCGUAAAGAGCUCGUAGGUGGUUUGUCGCGUUGUUCGUGAAAUCCCACGGCUUAACUGUGAGCGUGCGGGCGAUACGGGCAGACUAGAGUACUGCAGGGGAGACUGGAAUUCCUGGUGUAGCGGUGGAAUGCGCAGAUAUCAGGAGGAACACCGGUGGCGAAGGCGGGUCUCUGGGCAGUAACUGACGCUGAGGAGCGAAAGCGUGGGGAGCGAACAGGAUUAGAUACCCUGGUAGUCCACGCCGUAAACGGUGGGUACUAGGUGUGGGUUUCCUUCCUUGGGAUCCGUGCCGUAGCUAACGCAUUAAGUACCCCGCCUGGGGAGUACGGCCGCAAGGCUAAAACUC
rnacentral:rRNA from 1 species